UGUCAUAUUUGACUCCAAAACACUACCCAAGCUUCUUCUUGCUUCUCAAAGCUUUGAUGGUGUAGCUGAAGUCCGUAUGAGUA
rnacentral:sRNA from 1 species